rnacentral:lncRNA from 1 species
UUGCCUUUUCUUGAUUCUUGGAAGGUGUGUUCCCCUUUCAGACGUAAAGCUUGACUUUAGUUUUGAGAGAAAGAGAGAGAGAGAGAUGAAGAAACAUGAAUGGGUGAUUGAAUUAGGAGAUGCCUUUAUAAGUCUCACCUACCUAAUGGGUCGUGCCUUAAUUAUUAUUAUGAUUUUUUUAGGUCUCAAUUCUAUAUGUUCUUUUGGACCAAAUUAGCUGAGUUUUUAUUUAUUUUUAGGUAUUCAUCGUUGUCUUUCCAAAUUUUUAGUAUUUAUAUAACAAAGAGGAUUAUACAAUUAUUGGUGACUAUUACAUCUUUCCAGAUUGAAAUUUUAUUAACAACACGUUGGGUUAUCCAGGUUGUAUAUAUUAGAAGCUAGCUACAUACGUUUUGUAUUUUGUGAAUAACAUUAAUUUCUGUUUCUAAUAUAUUUAUCGCAAUAUCUAUUCAACAAUUAUAACAUAUCAGCUCAAAUAAGCUUAAUUAAGAGAAGAUGGUGUUUCUCACCAAAAAAAAAAGAAAGAGAAGAUGGUG